GGUUCAUUAGUCCAGAGGUUAGGGCGCCGCACUGUCUAUGCGGAAACGUCGGUUCAAUUCCGGCAUGGACCG
rnacentral:tRNA from 1 species